rnacentral:rRNA from 1 species
GGGUUGUGAGGUUAAGCGACUAAGCGUACACGGUGGAUGCCCUGGCAGUCAGAGGCGAUGAAGGACGUGCUAAUCUGCGAUAAGCGUCGGUAAGGUGAUAUGAACCGUUAUAACCGGCGAUUUCCGAAUGGGGAAACCCAGUGUGAUUUGUCACACUAUCAUUAACUGAAUCCAUAGGUUAAUGAGGCGAACCGGGGGAACUGAAACAUCUAAGUACCCCGAGGAAAAGAAAUCAACCGAGAUUCCCCCAGUAGCGGCGAGCGAACGGGGAGGAGCCCAGAGCCUGAAUCAGUGUGUGUGUUAGUGGAAGCGUCUGGAAAGGCGCGCGAUACAGGGUGACAGCCCCGUACACAAAAAUGCACAUGCUGUGAGCUCGAUGAGUAGGGCGGGACACGUGGUAUCCUGUCUGAAUAUGGGGGGACCAUCCUCCAAGGCUAAAUACUCCUGACUGACCGAUAGUGAACCAGUACCGUGAGGGAAAGGCGAAAAGAACCCCGGCGAGGGGAGUGAAAAAGAACCUGAAACCGUGUACGUACAAGCAGUGGGAGCACGCUUCGGCGUGUGACUGCGUACCUUUUGUAUAAUGGGUCAGCGACUUAUAUUCUGUAGCAAGGUUAACCGAAUAGGGGAGCCGAAGGGAAACCGAGUCUUAACUGGGCGUUAAGUUGCAGGAUAUAGACCCGAAACCCGGUGAUCUAGCCAUGGGCAGGUUGAAGGUUGGGUAACACUAACUGGAGGACCGAACCGACUAAUGUUGAAAAAUUAGCGGAUGACUUGUGGCUGGGGGUGAAAGGCCAAUCAAACCGGGAGAUAGCUGGUUCUCCCCGAAAGCUAUUUAGGUAGCGCCUCGUGAAUUCAUCUCCGGGGGUAGAGCACUGUUUCGGCAAGGGGGUCAUCCCGACUUACCAACCCGAUGCAAACUGCGAAUACCGGAGAAUGUUAUCACGGGAGACACACGGCGGGUGCUAACGUCCGUCGUGAAGAGGGAAACAACCCAGACCGCCAGCUAAGGUCCCAAAGUCAUGGUUAAGUGGGAAACGAUGUGGGAAGGCCCAGACAGCCAGGAUGUUGGCUUAGAAGCAGCCAUCAUUUAAAGAAAGCGUAAUAGCUCACUGGUCGAGUCGGCCUGCGCGGAAGAUGUAACGGGGCUAAACCAUGCACCGAAGCUGCGGCAGCGACACUAUGUGUUGUUGGGUAGGGGAGCGUUCUGUAAGCCUGUGAAGGUGGCCUGUGAGGGUUGCUGGAGGUAUCAGAAGUGCGAAUGCUGACAUAAGUAACGAUAAAGCGGGUGAAAAGCCCGCUCGCCGGAAGACCAAGGGUUCCUGUCCAACGUUAAUCGGGGCAGGGUGAGUCGACCCCUAAGGCGAGGCCGAAAGGCGUAGUCGAUGGGAAACAGGUUAAUAUUCCUGUACUUGGUGUUACUGCGAAGGGGGGACGGAGAAGGCUAUGUUGGCCGGGCGACGGUUGUCCCGGUUUAAGCGUGUAGGCUGGUUUUCCAGGCAAAUCCGGAAAACUAAGGCUGAGGCGUGAUGACGAGGCACUACGGUGCUGAAGCAACAAAUGCCCUGCUUCCAGGAAAAGCCUCUAAGCAUCAGGUAACAUCAAAUCGUACCCCAAACCGACACAGGUGGUCAGGUAGAGAAUACCAAGGCGCUUGAGAGAACUCGGGUGAAGGAACUAGGCAAAAUGGUGCCGUAACUUCGGGAGAAGGCACGCUGAUAUGUAGGUGAAGCGACUUGCUCGUGGAGCUGAAAUCAGUCGAAGAUACCAGCUGGCUGCAACUGUUUAUUAAAAACACAGCACUGUGCAAACACGAAAGUGGACGUAUACGGUGUGACGCCUGCCCGGUGCCGGAAGGUUAAUUGAUGGGGUUAGCGGUAACGCGAAGCUCUUGAUCGAAGCCCCGGUAAACGGCGGCCGUAACUAUAACGGUCCUAAGGUAGCGAAAUUCCUUGUCGGGUAAGUUCCGACCUGCACGAAUGGCGUAAUGAUGGCCAGGCUGUCUCCACCCGAGACUCAGUGAAAUUGAACUCGCUGUGAAGAUGCAGUGUACCCGCGGCAAGACGGAAAGACCCCGUGAACCUUUACUAUAGCUUGACACUGAACAUUGAGCCUUGAUGUGUAGGAUAGGUGGGAGGCUUUGAAGUGUGGACGCCAGUCUGCAUGGAGCCGACCUUGAAAUACCACCCUUUAAUGUUUGAUGUUCUAACGUUGACCCGUGAUCCGGGUUGCGGACAGUGUCUGGUGGGUAGUUUGACUGGGGCGGUCUCCUCCUAAAGAGUAACGGAGGAGCACGAAGGUUGGCUAAUCCUGGUCGGACAUCAGGAGGUUAGUGCAAUGGCAUAAGCCAGCUUGACUGCGAGCGUGACGGCGCGAGCAGGUGCGAAAGCAGGUCAUAGUGAUCCGGUGGUUCUGAAUGGAAGGGCCAUCGCUCAACGGAUAAAAGGUACUCCGGGGAUAACAGGCUGAUACCGCCCAAGAGUUCAUAUCGACGGCGGUGUUUGGCACCUCGAUGUCGGCUCAUCACAUCCUGGGGCUGAAGUAGGUCCCAAGGGUAUGGCUGUUCGCCAUUUAAAGUGGUACGCGAGCUGGGUUUAGAACGUCGUGAGACAGUUCGGUCCCUAUCUGCCGUGGGCGCUGGAGAACUGAGGGGGGCUGCUCCUAGUACGAGAGGACCGGAGUGGACGCAUCACUGGUGUUCGGGUUGUCAUGCCAAUGGCACUGCCCGGUAGCUAAAUGCGGAAGAGAUAAGUGCUGAAAGCAUCUAAGCACGAAACUUGCCCCGAGAUGAGUUCUCCCUGACUCCCUGAGAGUCCUGAAGGAACGUUGAAGACGACGACGUUGAUAGGCCGGGUGUGUAAGCGCAGCGAUGCGUUGAGCUAACCGGUACUAAUGAACCGUGAGGCUUAACCUUACAACGCCGAAG